UCGGGAAUUUUGGGCAAUGGGCGAAAGCCUGACCCAGCAACGCCGCGUGAAGGAUGAAGUAUUUCGGUAUGUAAACUUCGUAAGAAUAGGAAGAAUAAAUGACGGUACUAUUUGUAAGGUCCGGCUAACUACGUGCCAGCAGCCGCGGUAAUACGUAGGGACCAAGCGUUGUUCGGAUUUACUGGGCGUAAAGGGCGCGUAGGCGGUGUGUCAAGUUGGAUGUGAAAUCCCCGGGCUCAACCUGGGAACUGCAUUCAAAACUGACAAGCUAGAGUAUGGUAGAGGGUGGUGGAAUUUCCUGUGUAGCGGUGAAAUGCGUAGAUAUAGGAAGGAACACCAGUGGCGAAGGCGACCACCUGGACUGAUACUGACGCUGAGGUGCGAAAGCGUGGGGAGCAAACAGGAUUAGAUACCCAUGUAGUCCCUGAGCGGGCUGGCAAGGCGCAU
rnacentral:rRNA from 1 species